UUAACACAUGCAAGUCGAACGCUGAAGCCUGGUGCUUGCACCGGGUGGAUGAGUGGCGAACGGGUGAGUAACACGUGAGUAACCUGCCCCUGACUUCGGGAUAAGCCCGGGAAACUGGGUCUAAUACCGGAUACGACUGCCGGACGCAUGUCUGGUGGUGGAAAGUUUUUUCGGUUGGGGAUGGGCUCGCGGCCUAUCAGUUUGUUGGUGAGGUAAUGGCUCACCAAGACGACGACGGGUAGCCGGCCUGAGAGGGCGACCGGCCACACUGGGACUGAGACACGGCCCAGACUCCUACGGGAGGCAGCAGUGGGGAAUAUUGCACAAUGGGGGAAACCCUGAUGCAGCGACGCAGCGUGCGGGAUGACGGCCUUCGGGUUGUAAACCGCUUUCAGCAGGGAAGAAGCGCAAGUGACGGUACCUGCAGAAGAAGUACCGGCUAACUACGUGCCAGCAGCCGCGGUAAUACGUAGGGUACGAGCGUUGUCCGGAAUUAUUGGGCGUAAAGAGCUCGUAGGUGGUUGGUCACGUCUGCUGUGGAAACGCAACGCUUAACGUUGCGCGUGCAGUGGGUACGGGCUGACUAGAGUGCAGUAGGGGAGUCUGGAAUUCCUGGUGUAGCGGUGAAAUGCGCAGAUAUCAGGAGGAACACCGGUGGCGAAGGCGGGACUCUGGGCUGUAACUGACACUGAGGAGCGAAAGCAUGGGGAGCGAACAGGAUUAGAUACCCUGGUAGUCCAUGCCGUAAACGUUGGGCACUAGGUGUGGGGGGCAUUCCACGUUCUCCGCGCCGUAGCUAACGCAUUAAGUGCCCCGCCUGGGGAGUACGGUCGCAAGGCUAAAACUCAAAG
rnacentral:rRNA from 2 species